rnacentral:rRNA from 1 species
GCUUGUCUCAAAGAUUAAGCCAUGCAUGUCUAAGUAUAAACUACUUAUACGGUGAAACUGCGAAUGGCUCAUUAAAUCAGUUAUAGUUUAUUUGAUGGUACUUACUACUUGGAUAACCGUAGUAAAUCUAGAGCUAAUACAUGCGCAAAGCCCGACCUCUGGAAGGGCCGUAUUUAUUAGAUAAAAGGCCAGCCGGGUUUCGGCCCGUUCUUUGGUGAUUCAUGGUAACCGAACGAAUCGCACGGCACCAGCUGGCGAUGGACCAUUUCAGUUUCUGACCUAUCAGCUUCCGACGGUAGGAUAUGGGCCUACCGUGGCAAUGACGGGUAACGGAGGAUUAGGGUUCGAUUCCGGAGAGGGAGCCUGAGAAAUGGCUACCACAUCCAAGGAAGGCAGCAGG